rnacentral:sRNA from 1 species
UAAAGUAGCGUGUGAGCGUUCUAGAGCUCCA